rnacentral:rRNA from 1 species
AUUGAACGCUGGCGGAAUGCUUUACACAUGCAAGUCGAACGGUAGAGGGGGCAACCCCUCGAGAGUGGCGAACGGGUGAGUAAUAUAUCGGAACGUGCCCAGUCGUGGGGGAUAACGUAGCGAAAGUUACGCUAAUACCGCAUACGAUCUAAGGAUGAAAGCGGGGGAUCGCAAGACCUCGCGCGAUUGGAGCGGCCGAUAUCAGAUUAGGUAGUUGGUGGGGUAAAGGCUCACCAAGCCAACGAUCUGUAGCUGGUCUGAGAGGACGACCAGCCACACUGGAACUGAGACACGGUCCAGACUCCGCCGGGAGGCAGCAGUGGGGAAUUUUGGACAAUGGACGCAAGUCUGAUCCAGCCAUUCCGCGUGCAGGAUGAAGGCCCUCGGGUUGUAAACUGCUUUUGUACGGAACGAAAAGGUCUCUCUUAAUACGGGGGGCUCAUGACGGUACCGUAAGAAUAAGCACCGGCUAACUACGUGCCAGCAGCCGCCGUAA